UAAUACAGAAUACAAAAUCAUCUGCUCCAUUGGCCCGUCUUCUCCUCCUCCAUUGUUCCUCUUCCGCUGCUCUCCAUGCCCCUAGGCAGCGCUCCCAUUCAUGGCCGGCGACCCGUCUUCUCCUCCGCUGCUCUCCAUGCCCUAGACGGCGCUCCCAUUCAUGGCCGGUGAGCAGAAGCUUCAGCCUCCGUCGCGCCCCAAGAUGGUUGAUGCAUCAUAUGAGGAGGUGUAGUAUGCAUGAUGGUUUCAAGAAAGGAGGCCUCGAUUGGUACUUGAGACCGUCAAGUUGAGCAAUUACAUUGGUCUGGUGGCACCGCAAGUUACAAUCAAAGCCCUACUCGAGGCAGUCUCCCGUUAUUCAUGCCCCACUCCACUGGUAACAUGGAGUCUUCUCAUUUGUAAUGGCAUAGAUAUAGGAACGAGCAAUUCAGCUUUGCUAUAAGAAAGCGACGGACAAAAGAGAACAGGAUAUUGUUGUUGAGAGCUAGCUCUGGUCACAUGAUCAUCUAUCUAUAUAGUUUUCAACAAAAGAGAACUGGAUUAUUUUUACUGAGGGCUAGCUCUGGCCGCAUGGUCAUCCAUGUAUAUAGUUUUCAACAAUAAACGUGUCAUGAUUGGUACAUCAUAAUUAGCAAUCUUAGUUUCUUCUGAUCUCAUAAUUUGAAGAUGAACCGAAGAGGGGAAUGUGUACUAUGUUUCGAAUCUGUCACACUAAAUGUGUAUUUGUGGUAUUGAUGUACAGUUAUUAAGAAAGUUACGUUUUCCAGCUAUUGUGCUACUGAGAGGAUGCAUGGCUGAAAAUUGCUCUGGAUGGAGUUUUA